UGCGGAGGAAAAGAAACUAACAAGGAUUCCCCUAGUAGCGGCGAGCGAAGCGGGAAAAGCUCAAAUUUGUAAUCUGGCGUCUUCGACGUCCGAGUUGUAAUCUCGAGAAGUGUUUUCCGUGAUAGACCGCAUACAAGUCUCUUGGAACAGAGCGUCAUAGUGGUGAGAACCCAGUACACGAUGCGGAUGCCUAUUACUUUGUGAUACACUUUCGAAGAGUCGAGUUGUUUGGGAAUGCAGCUCAAAUUGGGUGGUAAAUUCCAUCUAAAGCUAAAUAUUGGCGAGAGACCGAUAGCGAACAAGUACCGUGAGGGAAAGAUGAAAAGCACUUUGGAAAGAGAGUUAACAGUACGUGAAAUUGUUGGAAGGGAAACACAUGCAGUGAUACUUGCUAUUCGGGGCAACUCGAUUGGCAGGCCCGCAUCAGUUUUUCGGGGCGGAAAAGCAUAGAGAGAAGGUAGCAGUUUCGGCUGUGUUAUAGCUCUUUAUUGGAUUCGCCCUGGGGGACUGAGGAACGCAGCGUGCUUUUUGCAUGAGCUUCGGCUUAUCCACGC
rnacentral:rRNA from 1 species